rnacentral:rRNA from 1 species
GAUGAACGCUGGCGGUAUGCUUUACACAUGCAAGUCAUACGGGAGUUAGUUUCGGCUAACUCCAGUGGCGGACGGGUGAGUAACACGUGAGAAUUCGCCUUUAGGAGGGGGAUAACAGGGGGAAACACCUGCUAAAACCCCAUAUGCCUUCGGGUCAAAAGAGUAAUCUGCCUAAAGAGAAGCUCGCGGCUGAUUAGCUAGUUGGUGGGGUAAAAGCCUACCAAGGCGACGAUCAGUAGCUGGUCUGAGAGGAUGAUCAGCCACACUGGAACUGAGACACGGUCCAGACUCCUACGGGAGGCAGCAGUGAGGAAUUUUCUGCAAUGGGCGAAAGCCUGACAGAGCAAUACCGCGUGAGGGAAGAAGGCUUACUGAGUUGUAAACCUCUGUUACCUAAGGAGGAAGAUCUGACGUUACUUAGGAGACGAAGCAUCGGCUAACUCCGUGCCAGCAGCCGCGGUAA